UAUAUACUCCCUCCGUCCGAAAAUAAUUGUCAUCAAAAAGAAUAAAAAGGCAUGUAUCUAGAUGUAUUUUAGUUCUAGAUACAUCUCUUUUCAUCCAUUUUGAUGACAAAUAUUUUCGGACGGAUGGAGUAUCAA
rfam:Triticum aestivum genome assembly, contig: Triticum_aestivum_CS42_TGACv1_scaffold_580468_7BL